GACGAACGCUGGCGGCGUGCUUAACACAUGCAAGUCGAACGGAAAGGCCCUGCUUUUGUGGCGUGCUCGAGUGGCGAACGGGUGAGUAACACGUGAGUAACCUGCCCUUGACUUUGGGAUAACUUCAGGAAACUGGGGCUAAUACCGGAUAGGAGCUCCUGCUGCAUGGUGGGGGUUGGAAAGUUUCGGCGGUUGGGGCUGGAUUCGCGGCUUAUCAGCUUGUUGGUGGGGUAGUGGCUUACCAAGGCUUUGACGGGUAGCCGGCCUGAGAGGGUGACCGGCGACAUUGGGACUGAGAUACGGACCAGACGCCUACGGGAGGCAGAAGUGGGGAAUAUGGCACAAUGGGCGGAAGCCUGAUGCAGCAACGCCGCGUGCGGGAUGACGGCCUUCGGGUUGUAAACCGCUUUCGCCUGUGACGAAGCGUGAGUGACGGUAAUGGGUAAAGAAGCACCGGCUAACUACGUG
rnacentral:rRNA from 1 species